AUGGGAUUUGAUAAAUCAAUAACUAGUGGGCCCCUUAUGUCUGCCACUACUGCCAGCCCACGGGAUUCACACGGUAUUCCAAUACCGCCUCUCACAGAAACCAAUACCUCUUCAUUAAUGGCAACAAAUCCUGAUGUUUCAACUCUCCAUGGGCCUGCACUUAAUGAGAACCUUGAGACCAAAGUUCAAUUUGGACCGGAUAGUAGUGAUAAAAGGCCUAGAAGAAAAAUACAUAAGCCCUUUUGGAUGAAAGACCAUGUCACUUAA